AUUGAACGCUGGCGGCAGGCCUAACACAUGCAAGUCGAACGGUAACAGGAAGCAGCUUGCUGCUUUGCUGACGGCUGGCGGACGGGUGAGUAAUGACUGGGCAACUGCCCGAUGGAGGGGGAUAACUACUGGAAACGGUAGCUAAUACCUCAUAACGUCUCCAGACUGAAGAGGGUGGCCUUAUGGCCUCUGGCGAUCGUGUAUUCCCGGAUGGGAUUCGAUAGUAGGGGGGGUAAGGUGACACCUAGGUGGCGAUCCCUAGCUGGUCUGAGGGUAUGACCAGCGACACUGGAACUGAGCCAGGCUCCAGAGGCCUAAGAGAGGCAGCAGUGGGGUAUAUUGCACAAUGGGCGCAAGCAUGAUGCAGUCGUGCCGAGUGUAUGAAGAAGGCGUUCGGGUUGUAAAGUACUUUCAGCGGGGAGGAAGCGAGUAAGGUUAAUACCUAGGCUGAUUGACGUUAACCGGAGAAGAAGCACCGGCUAACUCCGUG
rnacentral:rRNA from 1 species